UAGGGAAUCUUCGGCAAUGGGGGCAACCCUGACCGAGCAACGCCGCGUGAGUGAAGAAGGUUUUCGGAUCGUAAAGCUCUGUUGUAAGUAGAAGAACGUGUGUGAGAGUGGAAAGUUCACACAGUGACGGUAACUUACCAGAAAGGGACGGCUAACUACGUGCCAG
rnacentral:rRNA from 1 species